GAAGUCCCUGAAGCCUGAGGAGGUUGGGGCAGAGACAGGAGGGAGGCUGGGAGAGGGGCUGCCUGGGCUCCGGUCAGAUUCUCCCUUUGUGUCUUCACUGCCUUGAAAGUCCUGCCCUGGCUGCCGUCAGGUUCUGAGGUGAACUUUGAUUUGAAGGCCCCAGAGGAUGGUGUGGAAGAUCUUCCUAACUCAGUCUACUGAUUCCAGUGCUAAUCUCUUCCAGAAACACCCCCGAGGACAUACAGAAAUAAUGUUUUACCAGCUAUCUGGGCAUCCCUCAACCCAGCCAAGUUGAUGCCUGAA